UGUCGGCUCGUCGCAUCCUGGGGCUGAAGCAGGUCCCAAGGGUUGGGCUGUUCGCCCAUUAAAGCGGCACGCGAGCUGGGUUCAGACCGUCGUGAGACAGGUCGGUCUCUAUCCGUCGUGGGCGUCCGGAGAUUUGAGGGGAGCUUUCUCUAGUACGAGAGGAUUGAGAAGGACAGACCUCUGGUGUACCAGUUGUUCUGCCAAGGGCAUAGCUGGGUAGCUAAGUCUGGUUCGGAUAAGCGCUGAAAGCAUCUAAGUGCGAAGCCGGCCCCAAGAUUAUAUCUCCCAUCCCGAUUUAUCGGGAGUAAGACCACAAGUAGACUACUUGUUUGAUAGGCGGUGGGUGAAAGGGCAGUAAUGUCUUUAGCUUAACCGUACUAAUGGUCGAGGGCUUGACCUG
rnacentral:rRNA from 1 species